UGUUAAAAUUUUUAUCUAUUUUUACUAUUAAAACCUGACGUGACUGACAGAAAUACUGGGAAGUUAAACGUGGCAUUCUGACAUACAAGACCAGUUUUUAAUAGUAAAAAUGAAUGAAUUUUUUUACA
rfam:Gossypium arboreum cultivar AKA8401 contig_263_1, whole genome shotgun sequence.